AGUCCUGUUAACCUCCAAUUAAGAGGUUCCGGGUAACCUCACGUUAUCCAGUUCUUUCUGGAUUUUUCAGAGUGGUUUCUCCCUCUGUUUGACGCCUCCCUGUUAACUUUCGAGAGCCGCCAUCUGACGGCUCUUUUUCU
rnacentral:sRNA from 1 species